CUCUGUAGAAUAAUCUGUAAAUGUAUUUAACUCCUGCUCUUGGUGCACUUUCUGAAGAAACAAGAAAAUCAGGUUUUCAAAACAUGAUUUUCACGUGAACAUUUAUUUCUCUUCACUGUGGGAUAACUUCCUGGGUUCUGUUUCUACCAGCUUUGUGAAAUGGAAGGAAUCAUCACAAGAGAAUCUCUAUUAAGAGUCUGUCCUGAAUCCUACCCUCAAGAGGACAGUGUGACUUCUGACUAUUACCAAAGCUCUCUUUAGGCAACUUUUUUGCGUUGGUAGAAAAAUUGGGAUUAAAUGAUACCCUGAGGAAAACUAGCUUUUGGUUAUCACUCUGUCAUGGUGCUGCCUUUCACUGGCUGAUAAAUGCUGAAGUGUUAAUUGAUGUCUGGACUUAAAGAAAUCUCACCAGUAAAAAGUUCUGCUGCAUCUCCUGGCCACUGAACUCCCACUGUCUGCACCAAGUACAGGUAGGAAAAAUUUCAUCUGUUGAAUUACACAUCAGGAAAUUUCUAGUGAAAGAGGUGGAGGUUGUUGGAGGUGAGAAGGUGAGUGUUAAUCACCUAAACCGUCCUGUGGAAAAGUGGCCUAUUGUAGUUUGUGAGUCAGGGUUUUCAUGUAAGGUGCAGAACAAACCUUCUGUAGUUUUGAGUAAAUUUCACCUGGGGUUUAGGGUAUUAUGUAGCAUAGCUCACUGCUGGGAGAACCAAGAGGAGAGGGCAAAAUAGUCAGUGGUGCAGGAGGCUGUACAGCUACAGGAGUUUUAAUGGUUUGUUGUGAGGAAGAGGGUGUGGGAGAGGGCUUAUGGGUCUCCACAUGUCUCCAAAUUGCUUCAAAGAGAAAGGAAAUAAUUUGUUUCUACUGCUUUUGGGGCAGAAUAAAGAAUAAUGGAAUUGAACUGCAGCAAGUAAGAUUUAGGCAAGACAUUUGGGGGAAAAUUUCAGUUGUAAAAAUAGUUAUGUCCUAGGUUAGAUUGCUUGGGGAGAUCCUAGAGUCUGUCAGUGCACUACUUACAAGCCAACUAACAGGCAUUUUCCAGGGGUAAUUUAAGCAGAGCAGGCUCCACUUUGGAUUAUGAAGAUGAAUUAGCUCACUUCUGCAGGUCCACCUUUCUUUUCUGUGGUACAAGUUGAUUCCAAUCAUGAAAUAGAUAGGGUUUUGCUUCUGAACCGGCUGUUUUAAGACAACAGUCAAGUGCUAUCUCUCUCCUGUCCACUGCAAAGGAUGAAGACAAGAGGAGAGACAGGUUAAUCUUGCUUUAUUUUCAGCAGUUGUUCUUUGUCGUAGAAAGGCUUUUCCUUCUAAGAAAAGUCUGUUUCUUUUGCUAUCAAGUUCGUUGCUGCUGACUACAAAUUACAGCACUUUAUUUUCUUUGUAUGGUUUUCUCUUUGCUUUGAUUGCAACUGCAGACUGUUCAGUGGAGAUGCUGAACUAUCUUGUUCACUUUCCUGUGUAGGAUAUAAUGAAGUCUUUGUUAAGUUUUAACAUUUCGUAAAUUCUGCAGAACUAUCUACAAGAUUAAAAUUGUGGACAUACCUAAGUGCCUCAGUAAACCACUGCCAUGCUUGAGGACAGUAACCCAUCACAUUUAACAUUAACAUUGAGUUCAUUAGAAUAUAGGGCUAAUGCAUUAAAAAAUGGAGCUUUAUAAUCCUUACUGGAGUUAAUGAAUUUGUAAUAUAUUUAUUGUGCUUGGUAGGGAAGAUAGGAAGUUUUUUGAAGACAUGAUCUUUUAACUGUGUCUCUCUGCUGAACCAUUGAUAUGUCAGCAGUUGGGUCUGAACUUGUCUGUAUUUGAAACCCAGUGAAAGAUUGCCAGAGCUGUUAGCUUUUAUGUUUAUUACUGUUGUUCUUCAAAUAGUUUUAUGUUUUUUUGUUUUUUUUUCCAUUUGGUUGUAUCGUGUAUCUCCAUAUAACUUAAUAUGAAAUAAUCAUCUCUGUUCAUUUUUCUUACAGUAGUAGGUUAGUUUUUGGGUUCUUCUAAAAUUAUUUCCAUAUGAAUCAGUGGAGUAGAAUGAUUCUCCUAUUAUUUUAAAUAUACUAGACAAGUACUCUGUGUUUGGUCUUUAGUGAGCCUUCUGCAUAUCUGUUGAAAAGCCAAAGUGCACUGAAGAUUAUGGAUCAGAAACUAUUGAGAGAAGUUGAACAUGUUUCUUUCAGAUUAAAAUACUUUUUCUGUUAUGUCUUUUGCCUCCAAAUAAACUUGACACAAAUGAACUUUUGGAAUUCAGUAAAACUGAUGUUAUCUAUCCUCAUUUUGAACUCAAUGAACAUUUAACCAAAGUCAUUUUGAUGGAUGACCAGAUCUCUUUGGAUUUCUUGAGGUCAGCAUGGCUCU
rnacentral:lncRNA from 1 species